UACGUAGGGCGCAAGCGUUGUCCGGAAUUAUUGGGCGUAAAGAGCUCGUAGGCGGUCUGUUACGUCCGCUGUGAAAACCCAGGGCUUAACCCUGGGCUUGCAGUGGAUACGGGUAGACUAGAGGCAGGUAGGGGAGAAUGGAAUUCCCGGUGUAGCGGUGAAAUGCGCAGAUAUCGGGAGGAACACCGGUGGCGAAGGCGGUUCUCUGGGCCUGACCUGACGCUGAGGAGCGAAAGCAUGGGUAGCGAACAGG
rnacentral:rRNA from 1 species